rnacentral:rRNA from 1 species
GACAGAGGAUGCAAGCGUUAUCCGGAAUGAUUGGGCGUAAAGCGUCUGUAGGUGGCUUUUAAGUCUGCCGUCAAAUCCCAGGGCUUAACCCUGGACAGGCGGUGGAAACUACCAAGCUGGAGUACGGUAGGGGCAGGGGGAAUUUCCGGUGGAGCGGUGAAAUGCGUAGAGAUCGGAAAGAACACCAACGGCGAAAGCACUCUGCUGGGCCGACACUGACACUGAGAGACGAAAGCUAGGGGGAGCAAAUGGG